rnacentral:rRNA from 1 species
ACUCCUACGGGAGGCAGCAGUAGGGAAUCUUCCACAAUGGACGCAAGUCUGAUGGAGCAACGCCGCGUGAGUGAUGAAGGGUUUCGGCUCGUAAAACUCUGUUGUUGGAGAAGAACAGGUGUGAGAGUAACUGUUCACAUCUUGACGGUAUCCAACCAGAAAGCCACGGCUAACUACGUGCCAGCAGCCGCGGUAAU